CAGUUCGGUUUAAGCUGGACUGCAGGCGGGCUCUUGGUGGCAAUGACUCCUAUCAGAUUGCUGGUGCAGCCUACACAGAGGAUAGAAGGCCGCACCUAUGCCGAUUACGGGUCCGUUGACGAAUGCAUGGAAGGCAUCUGUAAGAUGUACGAAGAGCACCUGAAGAGGUUGAACCCCCGGAGCAAGUCCAUCACCUAUGGCGUCAGUCAGCUGUUUGAGUUUAUCGACCGGAUGGUAGACCUCACCUGCAUGGUGUUCCUCGAAGACACGCAGACGUACAAGUCUCACAACCGAGAGUGGGUCAAAGAGAGGAUCUACAUGCUUCUCAGUCAGCAGGCACAGCUGGAGGGCUCGGAGUGAGCUUCUAGGAGCUUCCGGAAGAGCUGGGGCUGGCUGGGGCCACAGGGAACAUUUCUGAUCAAAGCAGCAGAAGCAAGCUAUAGUGAUGAGCCAUUUUCCAUGGAAGACUGCCCCUAACCUGUGAAUAAUUUCUCUUCACAUGAGCUUUGAGAAUAUUUGUCCUUGAAGUUUGUAUUAUCACCUGCCAAUAAAAUUUAAAACAAAUUAUAGUAAAAGAACUACUUUAAACCGUU
ensembl:lincRNA